rnacentral:sRNA from 1 species
AGCAGCCGCGGUAAUUCCAGCUCCAAUAGCGUAUAUUAAAGUUGUUGCAGUUAAAAAGCUCGUAGUUGAAUUUCGGGGUUCUACCGUUGGUCAGGCUAUAGUCUGUACUGGCGUGUGGAAUUUCUACCUUCUGGGGAACUAUCAUGUUAUUAAUUUAGCGUGGUAGGAAACCAGAACCUUUACCUUGAAAAAUUAGAGUGUUCAAAGCAGGCUUACGUCUGAAUACAUUAGCAUGGAAUAAUAAAAUAGGACGGUGGUCCUGUUUUGUUGGUUUCUGAAUCACCGUAAUGAUUAAUAGGGAUAGUUGGGGGCAUUAGUAUUCAAUUGUCAGAGGUGAAAUUCUUGGAUUUUAUUGAAGACUAACUACUGCGAAAGCAUUUGCCAAGGAUGUUUUCAUUAAUCAAGAACGAAAGUUAGGGGAUCGAAGACGAUCAGAUACCGUCGUAGUCUUAACCAUAAACUAUGCCGACUAGGGAUCGGAUGAUGUUAAU